rnacentral:lncRNA from 1 species
CUUACUCAGGUUUCUGAGCCAAGGGUCUACAGACCCCUAGGGUAGCCACUACUUCAGGGCUCUAGAAACCCUCUGAAGUUUUUACAUAUUAAUAGACACACAUGUAUUUUUCUGGGUGAAAUGGUCUAAAAUUUUUUGGUUUUAUUUUACAUUUUUUUUUCUUUUCUGUGGGUCUCGCAUCCCAGUCUCAAACCCCUGGACUCAAGUGGUCCUCUUGCUUCAGCCUCCCUAGUAGUUGACACUGCAGGCGUGUGCUUCCACCUCCCAAGAGGCCCAA